rnacentral:rRNA from 1 species
UGAACGACUCUCGGCAACGGAUAUCUUGGCUCUCGCAUCGAUGAAGAACGUAGCGAAAUGCGAUACUUGGUGUGAAUUGCAGAAUCCCGUGAACCAUCGAGUCUUUGAACGCAAGUUGCGCCUGAGGCUUUUGGCCGAGGGCACGUCUGCCUGGGCGUCACGC